CAGUAGCCGCGGGAAUACGUAGGUCCCGAGCGUUGUCCGGAUUUAUUGGGCGUAAAGCGAGCGCAGGCGGUUAGAGAAGUCUGAAGUUAAAGGCUGUGGCUUAACCAUAGUACGCUUUGGAAACUGUUUAACUUGAGUGCAAGAGGGGAGAGUGGAAUUCCAUGUGUAGCGGUGAAAUGCGUAGAUAUAUGGAGGAACACCGGUGGCAAAAGCGGCUCUCUGGCUUGUAACUGACGCUGAGGCUCGAAAGCGUGGGGAGCAAGCAGGAUUAGAUACCCCAGUAGUCCCUGUCUCUUAUACC
rnacentral:rRNA from 1 species